UCCGUUAAACUACUCAAUUUUUUCCUGUCCCAUUCUUUUUCCGUUUUGAAAUUGGGUUUUCUUUCUCUCUUUAUUUUUUCUUCUGACCGAGACAUUCCAUUACCUAUGUAUGUUCGUUCUUUAUCCAAGAAAAUAAUAAUCGGCUUAUUGUACUUCUGCUGUUUCGCCUCCAAACUGUACCAAGAACCCCCCCAGCAAGCUUGCCGGUUGCUGUCCAGAUGGCAACCACGUCUGAACGGUCCUUGCUUUAUACACGAUUUCUUAGCCACACCACUUCGAAAAUGUAUUAGAUAUGAAUCGAGAUUGUGUAACGUUCAUGCUUUUCUUAAAAGAUGUCUUCGCGUUCCACACAGUUGAAGAAUUAGGGAAUAUUUUGCAGCUACUCUUUCUUCAUUAUAUAUUUCCCCGUUUAAACAAAUGUUGUGUAAAAUUACUCCCCAUUAAUGUUACAAAUAUGUCUGUUGUAUACUGCGGAUGUGGAACCAGCUGCACUGAACUUGAUUAGCGUGUAAAGAUCGCUUUAUGAAAUAAAUGGCGUAUUUUUACUAUAUUGGUUUGAUAUUGAGUGAGGUAAAAAAAAAAAAAAAAAAGAAAGUAUGAAAUAUCUUUAAAAAUCACAGAAUACUUUAGUAGCACACAUUGAACAUACGUGUGCGCGUGUAGACGGAUACGGACAUCAGCGAUUUAUUUAUUUAUUUAAUUCUUCCAUUCAGACGAAAGGAAGAAUAAUACGAAAUGGUUAUUAUAGUCAAUCGAUCUUUGAAAGAUAUCUCAUUGAUCGAUUAUUCUUCACUCCAUCUAAAAAUUGGGGUAUGAAACGACCAAUUUGUUCUAGAUUGAUGUUCGAACUGUCACCCGUAUGUAGAUGUCUAGAUUUACGUACAUAUGACAUAUUACUACCAUUUUCCCCCCAUUGUUUUCAUUCCGCGAUGUCAUUACUUGCACAGUGUCUGUUUCUGUAGUGUAUGCAUGUGUUCGUACAGAAAAUUCCAUAUUUGUGUAAAUACUGAACUAAUUAAUCAUCUGAAGUGAAAUGGCAAGUAAUAAAACUACUACCGACACAACUAUGCUGGAUUUAAUAAGAAUCAUACAGGAACAAGGAAAGAAAUUGGUUACAUUUAGUU